AUUGAACGCUGGCGGCAGGCUUAACACAUGCAAGUCGAGCGGGGGAAGGUAGCUUGCUACUGGACCUAGCGGCGGACGGGUGAGUAAUGCUUAGGAAUCUGCCUAUUAGUGGGGGACAACAUCUCGAAAGGGAUGCUAAUACCGCAUACGUCCUACGGGAGAAAGCAGGGGAUCUUCGGACCUUGCGCUAAUAGAUGAGCCUAAGUCGGAUUAGCUAGUUGGUGGGGUAAAGGCCUACCAAGGCGACGAUCUGUAGCGGGUCUGAGAGGAUGAUGCGCCACACGGGGACUGAGACACUGCCCAGACUGCUGAGGGAGGCAGCAGUGGGGAAGAUUGGACAAUGGGGGGAACCCUGACCCAGCCAUGCCGCGUGUGUGAAGGAGGCCUUAUGGUUGUAAAGCACUUUAAGCGAGGAGGAGGCUACUCUAGUUAAUACCUAGGGAUAGUGGACGUUACUCGCAGAAUAAGCACCGGCUAACUCUGUGCCAGCAGCCGCCGUAA
rnacentral:rRNA from 1 species